rnacentral:tRNA from 1 species
AGUAUAUAGCUACAUUUAAGUUUAUUAUUUACGUUAAUAAGAUAUCUAUUUAGAUUUUACUUUU